rnacentral:tRNA from 1 species
GCUCCCAUAGCUCAGUGGUUAGAGCACAACGCUUAUAACGUUGGGGUCGACGGUUCAAAUCCAUCUGGGAGCA